UACGUAGGUGACAAGCGUUGUCCGGAUUUACUGGGCGUAAAGGGCGCGUAGGCGGCCACCGCAAGUCAAUUGUGAAAUCUCCGGGCUUAACUCGGAAAGGUCAACUGAUACUGCGGGGCUAGAGUGCGGAAGGGGCAACUGGAAUUCUCGGUGUAGCGGUGAAAUGCGUAGAUAUCGAGAGGAACACCUGCGGCGAAGGCGGGUUGCUGGGCCGACACUGACGCUGAUGCGCGAAAGCCAGGGGAGCGAACGGG
rnacentral:rRNA from 1 species